GGAGGUAUAGCUCAAGUGGUAGAGUGCAUGCUUAGCAUGCAUGAAGUCCCAGGUUCAAUCCCCAGUACCUUCU
rnacentral:tRNA from 1 species